AUUGAACGCUGGCGGCAGGCUUAACACAUGCAAGUCGAGCGGAGCGGCGGACGUGUGAGUAUUGCCUAGGAACUUGCCUGGUAGCGGGGGAGAACGUUCGGAAACGGGCGCUAAUACCGCACACUAUUAGAUUAGCCUAGGUCGGAUUGGCUGGUUGGUGGGGUAAAGGCCUACCAAGGCGACGAUCCGUAACUGGUCUGUGAGGAUGACGAGUCACACUGGUGCUUGGCCCGCUUCCAUGCUCCUACGGGCAGCAGCAUAUGUGAAUGUUGGACAAUGAGCGCAAGCCUGCUCCAACCAUGCCACUUGUGUGAAGAAGGUCUUCGGAUUGUAAGGCACUUUAGGUUGGGAGGCGUUACCAACAGAAUAAGCACCGGCUAACUUCGUGCCAGCAGCCGCGGUAAUGC
rnacentral:rRNA from 1 species